rnacentral:rRNA from 1 species
CCGCAGUAUUUUGACUGUGCAAAGGUAGCAUAAUCAUUAGUCUUUUAAUUGAAGGCUGGUAUGAAUGGUUGGAUGAGGUACAAGCUGUGUCAUAAAAAUUAAUAUUUGAAUUUAACUUUUUAGUCAAAAGGCUAAAAUGUAAUUAAAAGACGAGAAGACCCUAUAGAGCUUUAUAUAGUUGAUAUUUAAUUUAUUAAGAUUUAUUAAAUUUAAUUAUUUUACUGUAUUUUGUUGGGGUGACAAUAAAAUUUAUAAAACUUUUAUUAUUAUUUAACAUUUAUUUAUGGUUAUAUGAUCCAGUUUUAUUGAUUAUAAAUUUAAGUUACCUUAGGGAUAACAGCGUAAUUUUUUUUGAGAGUUCAUAUCGACAAAAAAGAUUGCGACCUCGAUGUUGGAUUAAGAGUAAUUUUGGGUGUAGAAGUUCAAAGUUUAAGUCUGUUCGACUUUUAAAUUCUUACAU